CAGAGGGUGCAAGCGUUGUUCGGAAUUAUUGGGCGUAAAGCGCGUGUAGGCGGCUUAGCAAGUCGGGCGUGAAAGCCCUCGGCUCAACCGAGGAAGUGCACCCGAACUGCUGAGCUUGAGUGCCGGAGAGGAUGGCGGAAUUCCCCAAGUAGAGGUGAAAUUCGUAGAUAUGGGGAGGAACACCGGUGGCGAAGGCGGCCAUCUGGACGGUAACUGACGCUGAGACGCGAAAGCGUGGGUAGCAAACAGGAUUAGAUACCCUGGUAGUCCACGCUGUAAACGAUGAGAACUAGAUGUCGCGGGUGUUGACCCCUGCGGUGUCGCAGCUAACGCAUUAAGUUCUCCGCCUGGGAAGUACGGUCGCAAGAUUA
rnacentral:rRNA from 1 species